rnacentral:rRNA from 1 species
UUGGAGGGCAAGUCUGGUGCCAGCAGCCGCGGUAAUUCCAGCUCCAAUAGCGUAUAUUAAAGUUGUUGCAGUUAAAAAGCUCGUAGUUGAAUUUCGGGAUUGACGUGAUGGUCAUGCCUUAAGGGGUAUGAACUGUUACAGUUGAUUCUCACCUUCUGGGGAAACUUGAUGUCCUUUAUUGGGUGUCUUGCGGAUCCAGGACCUUUACCUUGAAAAAAUUAGAGUGUUUAAAGCAGGCAUUUUUGCUCGAAUACAUUAGCAUGGAAUAAUAGAAUAGGACGGCAUGGUUCUAUUUUGUUGGUUUCUAGGAUCACCGUAAUGAUUAAUAGGGAUAGUUGGGGGCAUUAGUAUUCAAUUGUCAGAGGUGAAAUUCUUGGAUUUAUUGAAGACUAACUACUGCGAGAGCAUUUGCCAAGGAUGCUUUCAUUAAUCAAGAACGAAAGUUAGGGGAUCAAAGACGAUCAGAUACCGUCGUAGUCUUAACCAUCAACUAUGCCGACUAGGAAUCAGACGAUGUUAAUUUUUUAAUGACUCGUUUGGCACCUUACGGGAAACCAAAGUGUUUGGGUUC